rnacentral:lncRNA from 1 species
GCUUGCCAUGAGUAGGAGGGCUCCACCCAGAAGUAUCAAAAAUAAAUUAACACACCUAUCUAUCUUCUUUUCUUAGACUUCUUGGAACCUAUGCAGGAACUUCUGUCAACCUACUACAAGAUCCACUUACCCCCAGCUGAGCCAAGGCAAGGCUCAAAGAAGGUAAACACUGACUAAAUGGAGCACACCGGAUAAAGCAAUGAACAAACUACCCAGAGGACCUCCCUACAGUAAGUCCGUGACAAUAUGCUAAUAACUUAAAUGUCUAUUAAAGCGU